CCACAGAAUUUACAGAACCAAACAGAGAGAGGUCUAGGGAGAAAAUGACCAGAAUCAUCUGAAGUAUCGAAUCUGAACCUGGCCUUAAUGCUACAGAAGUCAACCUGGAAGACACUGGGAGCUUGAUAGAACUCAGAGUUAUGUGAGAGGAAGAAAACUUGGUGGAGAAAAUACCCUCAUCAGAAUGGUCUGAAGAGUACAUGAUCUGUGUCUAUAAUUGCAUCACCACACUCAGCCCUUGAAACCAUUUCCCCUCAACUCUGAACACCAUUGCCAAGACCACACUGGUCCUCUUUACUUCCAAACCCCCUCACAUCCCCGCCCCCCAGCAUCACUGUCAUACCAUCCAGUACUGCCAUUUUCCCAUACACAUGAUGGAAGGAAAAUCACGUGAUACUGCCUGCUGAGCAUCUACCUCACUUUCCUGCAACCAGCUGGAGAAGAGCAAAG